AGUUAGUAUGAGUUUUAUGUGUACUCAUAGAGUUUCUUUGUGCAAGUCUAGAUAAAGAACUAUUUCUAUCUAGACACGACGCGGCUCUGCGCUUGCAUCGAUACGACGCGACCACACAAAUUGUGUUUUUAACUGCAUAUCUUAUUUUAACUGGCGAAGGGUCAUGUAAUAACUCGUUAAAAUAAGAUAUGCAGUUAAAAACACAACCCCUGUAGACAUGGGCAUAAUGGAUUAACGUCAAUUGUACUGAGUGACAUAGAAGACUGAAACGUGGUGGCACACAGCUGGCCGUAAGAGGAUGUUUCAAGACCACGUCGGCAUACACAGACCAUCAGUGUAUGCCGGCUGAAACCCAGUGACCCGGAGGUCGUCGCCUCCGGAAUAGAAGCCGGGGUAAUGGGGUACGCCCCGAGGCCCUUACCUCGCCCGCCCACACAUCAUCCGGCGGGCAAGAGAAGACCGUGUUGUUGUUGUUGAUGUUUCAAGUCCCCCAGCGAGCUAUGGAGAGGACUACGCUCGGAACUCCACCGCGUGAUAGAAUCCGGAAGGUAAAAAUCAGGAGAACAUUAGUUCUCAUAGUUGUAAUUAUACAAAGUCCAGAGAAUCUGCAACUAGAAGAGGCAAUUGCUCGAUCUAUAUGAGCAACAAACAACCGAUGGGGAAGAAGGGUUCUCGAGUGGCGACCGCGUGCAGGCAAGCGUAGUGUGGGCCGACCCCUCGAGAGUUGGAGUGACGAUAUCAAGAGUGUUGCAAGAAUUUACUGGAUGGAAGCGGCGGCAUAUUAUACUUUGUGCUGUUGUUACGCCAUAAAUUGAAGUUUAUAUAUCCCUCAUAUUUGGAGGACAAUGGAUGGAUUGUAAUGAUGAUAUUUAUGGUAUAGGGAGAAAUCUAAAUCAUUAUGCUUAAAUAAUCUGGUAGUAUUUGUUUUAUUGUUACCCUAUUCCCUUUGGCCGCAACAGAAUAACAGUACUUUGCUCUUUUGAGGGCGAAGCAAUAAAGUGAGUUGUGACCAUUUUGUAUUGCUAUUACACACUCACAAACGAAAAUUGUAUUUAGCUUUAUGUAUUUUUUUUUAUCAUUUAAUGUUAUCUCGCUUUUUUUUUUGUAUAUGUAUGUUGUAAUUUGUGUGCUGUAAGUAAGUAAUGCAAAUAAAUUAUCUAUCUAUC